rnacentral:rRNA from 1 species
GACGAACGCUGGCGGCGUGCUUAACACAUGCAAGUCGAGCGGGGAUAAGUGAGAAGCUUGCUUUUGACUUAUUCUAGCGGCGGACGGGUGAGUAACGCGUGAGCAACCUUUCUCUCAGUGGGGAAUAACACAGGGAAACUUGUACUAAUACCGCAUAGGACCACAGCACCACAUGGUGCAGGGGUGAAAGAUUUAUCGCUGAGAGGUGGGCUCGCGUCUGAUUAGGUAGUUGGUGAGGUAACGGCCCACCAAGCCGACGAUCAGUAGCCGACCUGAGAGGGUGAUCGGCCACAUUGGGACUGAGACACGGCCCAAACUCCUACGGGAGGCAGCAGUGGGGAAUAUUGGGCAAUGGGCGCAAGCCUGACCCAGCAACGCCGCGUGAAGGAAGAAGGCUUUCGGGUUGUAAACUUCUUUUGUCAGGGAAGAGUAGAAGACUGUACCUGGCGAAUAAGCCAACGGCUAACUACGUG